rnacentral:rRNA from 1 species
AUUGAACGCUGGCGGCAUGCCUUACACAUGCAAGUCGAACGGCAGCACGGGAGCAAUCCUGGUGGCGAGUGGCGAACGGGUGAGUAAUAUAUCGGAACGUGCCCAGUCGUGGGGAUAACGUAGCGAAAGCUACGCUAAUACCGCAUACGAUCUAUGGAUGAAAGCGGGGGAUCGCAAGACCUCGCGCGAUUGGAGCGGCCGAUAUCAGAUUAGGUAGUUGGUGAGGUAAAGGCUCACCAAGCCGACGAUCUGUAGCUGGUCUGAGAGGAUGAUCAGCCACACUGGGACUGAGACACGGCCCAGACUCCUACGGGAGGCAGCAGUGGGGGAAUAUUGGACAAUGGGCGAAAGACCUGAUCCAGCAAUGCCGCGUGAGUGAUGAAGGCCUUAGGGUUGUAAAGCUCUUUUACCAGGGAUGAUAAUGACAGUACCUGGAGAAUAAGACUCCGGCUAACUCCGUGCCAGCA